rnacentral:rRNA from 1 species
CGUGCCAGCAGCCGCGGUAAUACGUAGGGUGCGAGCGUUAAUCGGAAUUACUGGGCGUAAAGCGUGCGCAGGCGGUUAUGUAAGACAGAUGUGAAAUCCCCGGGCUCAACCUGGGAACUGCAUUUGUGACUGUAUGGCUAGAGUACGGUAGAGGGGGAUGGAAUUCCGCGUGUAGCAGUGAAAUGCGUAGAUAUGCGGAGGAACACCGAUGGCGAAGGCAAUCCCCUGGACCUGUACUGACGCUCAUGCACGAAAGCGUGGGGAGCAAACAGGAUUAGAUACCCUGGUAGUCCACGCCGUAAACGAUGA